CGCGAUCAAUGGAGACUGCUGAUGAAUAAUGGUCUGCAAACAGUGAGGAUAAAAAAAGAUCGUAAAAUGGAGUUACCGGAGCGAGACACGCACAAUGCAGAUUUCUACCAUGCAUGCUGUCGGUGGAGAAGAUAAACUUUGUGGUUUCUGCACGCAGGUAGAUUCAUAACAGUCAGUACUGUGUCUGUCAAUCCAGUCGACAACAACAUUGUGUGAAUAUGAUUCUGUACGACUCAACAUUCUCGUUGGAGUAAAUAUGUUCAAAAUAAUGAUGAGCGGAUCUUCGUAGAUUUAGACCAAGUAUGUGUCUCUAAUUAGUACCGCCAAAAACCGAUUGUACAAGGGACAAGAGUGCCUCGGAACUGCAAGACACCGGUAUUGCACACGGGCCACUGGAGUUUUUUCGUGAUACAGGCGCAGAUUGACAGAAGUCUGAAAGCAAUGAUUUUUUGUUGGACGCCCUCUUUCUACCUGUAUAUCAAUGGACAGUGAGAACGUGUUGGGUGAGGUAACAAGUGCGUCUUCAUCUUCAAAGUCAGAAGGACCCCUUGAUAGCACCACACCCAUCCCAAGUAUGGACAACACAGCAGUAACUGCCAGCGUUACAGUGGUAUGCUUGAUCCUGGUAGCUGUGGGUAUCACAAUCCUGCUCUUCUGCUUGUAUCGGAGAAGAAAACAG